CCUACGGGAGGCAGCAGUGGGGAAUAUUGCACAAUGGGCGAAAGCCUGAUGCAGCAACGCCGCGUGAGUGAUGAAGGCCUUCGGGUUGUAAAGCUCUGUCUUCUGGGACGAUAAUGACGGUACCAGAGGAGGAAGCCACGGCUAACUACGUGCCAGCAGCCGCGGUAAUACGUAGGUGGCAAGCGUUGUCCGGAUUUACUGGGCGUAAAGGAUGCGUAGGCGGAUACUUAAGUCAGAUGUGAAAAUCCCGGGCUUAACUUGGGAACUGCAUUUGAAACUGGGUAUCUAGAGUGCGGGAGAGGAGAGUGGAAUUCCUAGUGUAGCGGUGAAAUGCGUAGAGAUUAGGAAGAACACCAGUGGCGAAGGCGACUCUCUGGACCGUAACUGACGCUGAGGCAUGAAAGCGUGGGGAGCAAACAGGAUUAGAUACCCUGGUAGUCCACGCCGUAAACUAUGAAUACUAGGUGUGGGAGUUGUCAUGACUUCCGUGCCGCAGUUAACACAAUAAGUAUUCCGCCUGGGGAGUACGGUCGCAAGACCAAAACUCAAAGGAAUUGACGG
rnacentral:rRNA from 1 species